rnacentral:rRNA from 1 species
AUUGAACGCUGGCGGCAGGCCUAACACAUGCAAGUCGAGCGAGCGGCGGACGGGUGAGUAAUGUCUGGGAAACUGCCUGAUGGAGGGGGAUAACUACUGGAAACGGUAGCUAAUACCGCAUACCAUCAGAUGUGCCCAGAUUGGAGUAGCUAGUAGGUGGGGUAACGGCUCACCUAGGCGACGAUCCCUAGCUGGUCUGAGAGGAUGAACAGCCACACUGGGACUGAGAAACGGCCCAAACUCCUACGGGAGGCAGCAGUGGGGAAUCUUGCACAAUGGGCGAAAGCCUGAUGCAGCCAUGCCGCGUGUGUGAAGAAGGCCUUCGGUUUGUAAAGCACUUUCGUCGGGGAGGCGUUACCCGCAGAAGAAGCACCGGCUAACUCCGUGCCAGCAGCCGCGGUAAUAC